rnacentral:lncRNA from 1 species
GCCUAGCAUAGAGAGGAUGCUUAUUAAAUAUUGGGUAAAAGAAUAAAAUGAUAAAUAAGGGCCACUAUAAAAUGAAUGUUACACAAAAACGUGUUUUCCCCAACAACUCACCCAGAUGAAGACUUACAGAGCAGCCCAGCUACUCCUCCCCAUAUAGAAUUCCUCAUCUGUUUCAGGCAACGCAGAUGUGAAGAGAAUAAAUAUGAAAGUCUCCCUCCUGGCCCUGGCUUGCAGCCCUCUGCUCCCUUUAGAGGUGAAACACCCUCAUGCACACUGGAGCAUCAGCACGGUGAGGGCAGGGCGUCCACGUGUCUUUGUGCCCUGCUUGACCCCGUGCUGGGACCUUCUACGAGAGCCACGGUGACACGUACAGCAGAUUUCCGGGACACGGCAGUUGUGAAAAUAAAAGAACGAAAGAAUGAACAAAAGGAAAGUGAACACUUCCCCAUUUUAUAGAUUGGAGAGUUGAGGUUUGGCGAGUGAUGUGAAUUAUCCAUGAUUACGUAGCUGAGGUUUGGCCAAGUGCAGACUCCAGAUGGUUCUGUCUAGUUCUGCCUCCCAGGGCUUUCCCCUGUGCAGGCUGCCUCGACCCUGCCUGACUGCCGCCUGUGUCUGAAUCUCUCAGAGCCGUCUGUCUUAAACAGGAAGAGACGGCCUUUAUAUACUGUUUUCAAGGCAACCCACUCCCAUUUAAUGUUAGUCUAGAUGGUUGCAGGUGUAUUUUGUUAUGCUGGCUUCUGGUUUACUCUGCAUAGUCGGGGAGCAUGAGAGGGGUGAUAUGGUUAGCAAAUGCCUUUGAAUUGUUACAUAACUACAUUGAUUCCUUGAAAAAAGCCAUCUUAUUAAAACAAAACAAGGAAUAUUAUGCCUUGUUGAAGCUGACCUAUCAAAAUGUAAAAGAAAUAAAGUAAUGAAUGGUGUCUUGGAAAAAACAGUGUUUUGUUAUUGUGUCAGUUAUACCUAAAGACAAAGAAUGUCUUGAAAGCAUAUUUUUAAAUCAAGAAAUG